rnacentral:misc_RNA from 1 species
GAUGGCAAUUUGACAUCAUUUUGACUAGUUUGUUUUCACUGGGAUUCUUACAUAAUUGUAAUAUCAAAUUAAGUCUCCAAGACGUCCCAGAUAGCAAACUGUCUGUGAAUUUGCUGUCAUUUUGCCGACAACCGUUGCAACAUCUGAUUUAGACAAACUACAAUAAAAACAAGAUUUGUGACAGCAAAUGGCCGGCAAACUGACGACAACAUGUGCAUAUUGAUUUGUGACAGCAAAUCGCCGGUAAACUGACGGCAACAUGUGCAUAACGAUUUGUGACAGCAAAUUGCGGGAAUUCCUUGUCGUCGAUUUGCCAUCUGUGAUUAGUAGCAUAUUGAUGGCAAUUUAGGAGCACUAUUUACAAAAAAAUGAGAGUCACUGCUCUGCCUGUGGAGCACGCCUGCGCAGUGACUCACGACGAAAGGCGAGAAAUGAAAUAUACGCGGUGGGACAUAUUAUAAUAAUACAGACUCAGAUGAAAUGAAUACUCCCGUAUCAAAUGGAAAUGAGGGAACACAGAACAGACAAGAAUCAUCCGAUGUAAGUCUUAUACUGCGGAAGACAUCCGAGAAAGCAACAGCCAUCUUCUAUAGCAGAAGCAAUGAUAUUAGAUACAGAAGCAGCUGUUAUAGCGAAUUUUGAAUUUUUGGGACAUACAGACAUGGACAUGGAAGAGGAAGAAGGAGAUGGAGACGAUGAAAUUUAUGAUGCAAAUACAGAUACCAAACCAAAUAAAGCAUCUAUACC